rnacentral:rRNA from 1 species
GAUGAACGCUGGCGGCGUGCCUAGUACAUGCAAGUCGAGCGAACGGACGAGAAGCUUGCUUCUCUGAUGUUAGCGGCGGACGGGUGAGUAACACGUGGAUAACCUACCUAUAAGACUGGGAUAACUUCGGGAAACCGGAGCUAAUACCGGAUAAUAUUUUGAACCGCAUGGUUCAAAAGUGAAAGACGGUCUUGCUGUCACUUAUAGAUGGAUCCGCGCUGCAUUAGCUAGUUGGUAAGGUAACGGCUUACCAAGGCAACGAUGCAUAGCCGACCUGAGAGGGUGAUCGGCCACACUGGAACUGAGACACGGUCCAGACUCCUACGGGAGGCAGCAGUAGGGAAUCUUCCGCAAUGGGCGAAAGCCUGACGGAGCAACGCCGCGUGAGUGAUGAAGGUCUUCGGAUCGUAAAACUCUGUUAUUAGGGAAGAACAUAUGUGUAAGUAACUGUGCACAUCUUGACGGUACCUAAUCAGAAAGCCGCGGCUAACUACGUGCCAGCAGCCGCGGUAAUACGUAGGUGGCAAGCGUUAUCCGGAAUUAUUGGGCGUAAAGCGCGCGUAGGCGGUUUUUUAAGUCUGAUGUGAAAGCCCACGGCUCAACCGUGGAGGGUCAUUGGAAACUGGAAAACUUGAGUGCAGAAGAGGAAAGUGGAAUUCCAUGUGUAGCGGUGAAAUGCGCAGAGAUAUGGAGGAACACCAGUGGCGAAGGCGACUUUCUGGUCUGUAACUGACGCUGAUGUGCGAAAGCGUGGGGAUCAAACAGGAUUAGAUACCCUGGUAGUCCACGCCGUAAACGAUGAGUGCUAAGUGUUAGGGGGUUUCCGCCCCUUAGUGCUGCAGCUAACGCAUUAAGCACUCCGCCUGGGGAGUACGACCGCAAGGUUGAAACUCAAGGGAAUUGACGGGGACCCGCACAAGCGGUGGAGCAUGUGGUUUAAUUCGAAGCAACGCGAAGAACCUUACCAAAUCUUGACAUCCUUUGACAACUCUAGAGAUAGAGCCUUCCCCUUCGGGGGACAAAGUGACAGGUGGUGCAUGGUUGUCGUCAGCUCGUGUCGUGAGAUGUUGGGUUAAGUCCCGCAACGAGCGCAACCCUUAAGCUUAGUUGCCAUCAUUAAGUUGGGCACUCUAAGUUGACUGCCGGUGACAAACCGGAGGAAGGUGGGGAUGACGUCAAAUCAUCAUGCCCCUUAUGAUUUGGGCUACACACGUGCUACAAUGGACAAUACAAAGGGCAGCGAAACCGCGAGGUCAAGCAAAUCCCAUAAAGUUGUUCUCAGUUCGGAUUGUAGUCUGCAACUCGACUACAUGAAGCUGGAAUCGCUAGUAAUCGUAGAUCAGCAUGCUACGGUGAAUACGUUCCCGGGUCU